AACCUUAUGGACCUGCGGGCGUAUACCUGCGGAGGGAUCAUUACCGAGUUAGGGUUCUCUGAAAACGAGGCCCGACCUCCCAACCCUGUGUUUAUAUCGACCACUGUUGCUUCGGCGAACCGCCUCUCGUGGGCGCCGGGGACGAGAGAUCGUCCUUGGAGAGUGUUCGUCGAUGGCCAUCAAACAAACUCUUUUAAAAACCACCUUCUGAAAACCUUUUUAGUUAUUAAUUUAACCAAA
rnacentral:misc_RNA from 1 species